rnacentral:rRNA from 1 species
GAUGAACGCUGGCGGCGUGCCUAAUACAUGCAAGUCGAGCGAAUGGAUUAAGAGCUUGCUCUUAUGAAGUUAGCGGCGGACGGGUGAGUAACACGUGGGUAACCUGCCCAUAAGACUGGGAUAACUCCGGGAAACCGGGGCUAAUACCGGAUAACAUUUUGAACAGCAUGGUUCGAAAUUGAAUGGCGGCUUCGGCUGUCACUUAUGGAUGGACCCGCGUCGCAUUAGCUAGUUGGUGAGGUAACGGCUCACCAAGGCAACGAUGCGUAGCCGACCUGAGAGGGUGAUCGGCCACACUGGGACUGAGACACGGCCCAGACUCCUACGGGAGGCAGCAGUAGGGAAUCUUCCGCAAUGGACGAAAGUCUGACGGAGCAACGCCGCGUGAGUGAUGAAGGCUUUCGGGUCGUAAAACUCUGUUGUUAGGGAAGAACAAGUGCUAGUUGAAUAAGCUGGCACCUUGACGGUACCUAACCAGAAAGCCACGGCUAACUACGUGCCAGCAGCCGCGGUAA